ACCGGGUGUGGUGGCACGAGCCUGUAGUCCCAGCUACUCGGGAUGCUGAUGUGGGAGGAUCGCUUAGGACCAGGAGUUCUGGGCUGUAGUGCGCUAUGCCGAUCGGGUGUCCGCACUAAGUUCGGCAUUAAUAUGGUGACCUCCUGGGAGCGGGGGACCACCAGGUUGCCUAAAGAGGGAUGAACUGGCACAGGUCGGAAACGGAGCAGGUCAAAACUCCUGUGCUGAUCAGUAGUGGGAUCGGGCCUCUGAAUAGCCUCUGCACUCCAGCCUGGGCAACAUAGCGAGACCCCGUCUCU
rnacentral:SRP_RNA from 1 species